AUCUACAGCCAUAUCACCCUGAACGCUACCAAUCUCAUCUGAUUGCAGAAGCUAAGCAGGAUCAGGCCUGGUUAGUGUUUGGAUGGGAGACCACCAGGGAAUACCAGGUGCUAUAGGCU
rnacentral:rRNA from 1 species